CACGUAGGGGGCAAGCGUUGUCCGGAUUUAUUGGGCGUAAAGAGCUCGUAGGCGGUUCGGUAAGUCAGGUGUGAAACCUCCAGGCUCAACCUGGAGACGCCACCUGAUACUGCUGCGACUCGAGUCCGGUAGGGGAGCGUGGAAUUCCUGGUGUAGCGGUGAAAUGCGCAGAUAUCAGGAGGAACACCAGCGGCGAAGGCGGCGCUCUGGGCCGGAACUGACGCUGAGGAGCGAAAGCGUGGGUAGCAAACAGG
rnacentral:rRNA from 1 species